rnacentral:rRNA from 1 species
UACGAAGGUGUCAAGCGUUGUUCGGAAUCAUUGUGCGUAUAGGGCGCGUAGGCGGAUUUGUAAGUCGAUUGUGAAAUCCCUGGGCUUAACCCGGGAAUGGCAGUCGAAACUGUGAGUCUUGAGUACUGCAGAGGAUGGUGGAAUUCCUGGAGUAGAAGUGAAAUUCGUAGAUAUCAGGAGGAACACCGGAGGCGAAGGCGGACAUCUGGGAAGUCACUGACGCUGAGGCGCGAAAGCGUGGGGAGCAAACAGG